CGAACGCUGGCGGCGUGCCUCAUACAUGCAAGUAGAACGCUGAAGAGAGGAGCUUGCUCUUCUUGGAUGAGUUGCGAACGGGUGAGUAACGCGUAGGUAACCUGCCUUGUAGCGGGGGAUAACUAUUGGAAACGAUAGCUAAUACCGCAUAACAAUGGAUGACACAUGUCAUUUAUUUGAAAGGGGCAAUUGCUCCACUACAAGAUGGACCUGCGUUGUAUUAGCUAGUAGGUGAGGUAACGGCUCACCUAGGCGACGAUACAUAGCCGACCUGAGAGGGUGAGCGGCCACACUGGGACUGAGACACGGCCCAGACUCCUACGGGAGGCAGCAGUAGGGAAUCUUCGGCAAUGGGGGCAACCCUGACCGAGCAACGCCGCGUGAGUGAAGAAGGUUUUCGGAUCGUAAAGCUCUGUUGUAAGUCAAGAACGAGUGUGAGAGUGGAAAGUUCACACUGUGACGGUAGCUUACCAGAAAGGGACGGCUAACUACGUG
rnacentral:rRNA from 1 species